rnacentral:rRNA from 1 species
AAUAGAUACCCUGGUAGUCCACGCCGUAAACGGUGGGCACUAGGUGUGGGCGACAUUCCACGUCGUCCGUGCCGCAGCUAACGCAUUAAGUGCCCCGCCUGGGGAGUACGGCCGCAAGGCUAAAACUCAAAGGAAUUGAUGGGGGCCCGCACAAGCGGCGGAGCAUGUGGAUUAAUUCGAUGCAACGCGAAGAACCUUACCUGGGUUUGACAUGCACCAGACAUCCCUAGAGAUAGGGCUUCCCUUGUGGUUGGUGUGCAGGUGGUGCAUGGCUGUCGUCAGCUCGUGUCGUGAGAUGUUGGGUUAAGUCCCGCAACGAGCGCAACCCUCGUUCCAUGUUGCCAGCGCGUAAUGGCGGGGACUCAUGGGGAGACUGCCGGGGUCAACUCGGAGGAAGGUGGGGAUGACGUCAAGUCAUCAUGCCCCUUAUGUCCAGGGCUUCACACAUGCUACAAUGGCCGGUACAGAGGGUUGCGAGACCGUGAGGUGAGCGAAUCCCUUAAAGCCGGUCCCAGUUCGGAUCGGGGUC